CUUGAGGACCAGGGUUGAGAAACACUGGUAUAAAGAGAAGACAACAAACAGGGGUGUCAAACACAGUUCCUGAAGGGUCACUGUCCUGCAAAAUUUAAUCUGAUCUAAGUUCUUCAGGAUUGGCAGAAAGUUCCAGGCUGGUGUGUUGGAGCUAAACUCUGCAUGACGUUCGCCCUACAGGACCAAAUUUGGAAACCCCUAGUGUCGAUGUGGUUCAUGGGAUUGUUAAUGGUAAGGUGUCCAUUCCACACAGCCACCCAUACAUGGUCUACAUUCGUGACUCACAAACACAAGCAGCAUGUGGUGGAUUUUUGAUAAGAGAAGAUUUUGUGAUAACUGCCGCCCACUGUAACAGAAAACAUCUCAUGGUGUAUUUGGGUGUUGAUGACACAAAUCGUUUACCUGAGGGUAUACCAGUCUUAGCCAUUCCACAUCCAGAUUUUGUGAACAAGCUAGGCGAAGAAAACAUCAUGGUACUAAAGGUU